UUGGAGGGCAAGUCUGGUGCCAGCAGCCGCGGUAAUUCCAGCUCCAAUAGCGUAUAUUAAAGUUGUUGCAGUUAAAAAGCUCGUAGUUGAAUUUCGGGAUCAGUUGGUCGGUCGUGCCUCGGUACGUACUGGUCAAAUUGAUUCCUACCUUCUGACGAACCACGAUGUCAUUAAUUUGGUGUCGCGGGAAAUCAGGACUGUUACUUUGAAAAAAUUAGAGUGUUUAAAGCAGGCUCGCGCUUGAAUACAUUAGCAUGGAAUAAUGAAAUAGGACGUUUGAUUCUAUUUUGUUGGUUUCUAGGAUCGACGUAAUGAUUAAUAGGGAUAGUUGGGGGCAUUAGUAUUCAAUUGUCAGGGGUGAAAUUCUUGGAUUUAUUGAAGACUAACUACUGCGAAAGCAUUUGCCAAGGAUGUUUUCAUUAAUCAAGAACGAAAGUUAGGGGAUCGAAGACGAUCAGAUACCGUCGUAGUCUUAACCAUAAACUAUGCCGACUAGGGAUCGGAUGAUGUUAAUUUUUUAAUGACUCAUUCGGCGCCUUACGGGAAAC
rnacentral:rRNA from 1 species